UGCUGAAGGUUGUUCUAGAUCAGGGCUGUCCAACCUGCGGCCCCCCAGACGUUGCUGAGCUACAACUCCCAUGAUUCCCUGUCUAUCUGUUUAAUUGAAAGAAUCAUGGGAGUUGUAGUUCAGCAACAUCUGGGGGGGCCACAGGUUGGACAGGCCUGUUCUAGAUCAUACCAAUCCUUUUGCU